rnacentral:rRNA from 1 species
UGAGCCGGGCCGCGAUCGCCGCCUUCUCCUUCUUCUCCUUCUUCUUCACCGCCGUGAAGGAGACGUCCUCGCGGACCAUCUGGAAGACGGACUGCGCCUUAGGGUCGUCCAGCACCACCGUCACCGGGGUCGGCUCGGCCGGGUUGUCCUUCACCGGCACGGUGGCGAACGUCAGGUUCUUGGGGUCGAGUUUGCCCAGCUCCAUGCCGAGGUCGCGGAGCUUGGAGAUGUCGGCCAGCGUCGAGUCGACGGUCAGCGCCUUGGUGCCCGCCUCGGCGAGGGAGAACAUCUUGGUUGGGCUGGUCAGCGUGUCGUUCGAACUCAGCUUGCGCAUCAGGGAGCUGAGGAACUGCUGCUGGAUCUCGAUCCGGCUGAGAUCGCCGCCGAAGCCCACCGAGUGCCGGGUGCGGACGAAGGCCAGCGCGUCCUCACCCUCGAUGGUGUGGGUGCCCUUGGAGAGCUUGAGGUGCGAGUCCGGGUCGUCGAUGUCCUUGGCGAGGCAGACCUCGACCCCGCCGACGGCCGUGGUGAGGGUCUUCACCGCGUUGAAGUCGGCCACCAUGAAGUGGUCCAUCUUUAUGCCGGUCAGCUCGGUGACCGUCCGCAUGGUGCAGCUGGGGGUGCGCUCGCUCUGGCCGAGGCUCUCGUUGAACUUGGUGUUCUGCUUGCCCGGGAUGACCGUCUCGGUGCCGUCCUCCUGCUGUGUGGGGCAGUCGGGGAUGUCGGUGAUCAGGUCGCGCGGGAUGCUGAGCGCGGUCGCGUUGGAACGGUCCUUGGAGACGUGCAGGACGAAGGUGGUGUCGGCGUGGCCGGGGCUGUCCUUGUCGCCGUACCCCUCGUUGCCCUCGCCGGAGCGCUUGUCGGUGCCGAUCAGCAGGACGUUGAUGGCCCGGUCCUUGCUGAAACCGCCGGUGCCCGCGCCGUCGUCGGCGACCGAGUUGAUGUUGUCCUUCAGGUGCUCCAGGUACGCGUAGGCCGAGGCGGCCAGCGCCACCAUCACGAAGGCCAGCACGCCGCCGGUCCACAGCAGGACCUUCUUCUUGCCCUUCUUCUGCUGCUGGCCGCGCCCCUUGCGCCCGCCCGCGCGGCGCGCGGCGGCACGCCCCGGAGGCGGCUCGGGCUCGGCGCCCCGGCGCGUGCGCUGCCCCGGGACCGUCUCACGGGACGGCCGGGAGCCGGGCUCCGGGUCCUCGUGGUCGGGGGCGGGCCGGCGCGGGCGGUCCUGGCCGGGCUGCGGGUGCUCACGGUCGGGAGCCCGGCGGGAGCGCGGAACGGAGCCCCGCCGCCCAUUGCCGGGCGGUCGCCCAUCGGAGGGGCUCAGUCGCAAUUCGUAAUCGCCGGUAUCCGGGUUGAGUACCCACUGGUCUGCGGGGUCGAUAUUCUCCGCCCGCCCACGGCCUUGCGCGUCCACGGUUGUCCGAAUCCUCCGUCAGGGCCACGCGGCGCCUCGGGUCCCCUCCCCGCAAGGCGCUCAUUCGGUCGGUCCGUCAGUCUCCGGCGGCCGUGUCGGGCUCGCCGGAUCGCUCACACUAUCC